AAUUACCCACUCCCAGCACGGGGAGGUAGUGACGAAAAAUAACGAUACGGGACUCAUCCGAGGCCCCGUAAUCGGAAUGAGUACAAUUUAAAAAUUUUCCCGAGGAUCAAUUGGAGGGUAAGUCUGGUGCCAGCAGCCGCGGUAAUUCCAGCUCCAAUAGCGUAUAUUAAAGUUGUUGCGGUUAAAAAGCUCGUAGUCGAAUCUGUGUCCCGCGCCGCUGGUUCAUCGCUCGCGGUGUUCAACUGGCGUGUCUCGCGGGACGUCCUGCCGGUGGGCGCUCGUCCGUUUCGGCGGUCGUGGCCCAACUCGCUUCCGUCUCGCGCGGUUGCGAAUCCCAUCGCGGUGCUCUUUAUUGAGUGUCGAGGUGGGCCGGCACGUUUACUUUGAACAAAUUAGAGUGCUUAAAGCAGGCCAAUUUUGCCUGAAUAUUGUGUGCAUGGAAUAAUAGAAUAGGACCUCGGUUCUAUUUUGUUGGUUUUCGGAACCCCGAGGUAAUGAUUAAUAGGAACGGAUGGGGGCAUUCGUAUUGCGACGUUAGAGGUGAAAUUCUUGGAUCGUCGCAAGACGGACAGACGCGAAAGCAUUUGCCAAAAACGUUUUCAUUGAUCAAGAACGAAAGUUAGAGGUUCGAAGGCGAUCAGAUACCGCCCUAGUUCUAACCAUAAACGAUGCCAGCUAGCGAUCCGCCGACGUUCCUCCGAUGACUCGGCGGGCAGCUUCCGGGAAACCAAAGCUUUUGGGUUCCGGGGGAAGUAUGGUUGCAAAGCUGAAACUUAAAGGAAUUGACGGAAGGGCACCACCAGGAGUGGAGCCUGCGGCUUAAUUUGACUCAACACGGGACACCUCACCAGGCCCGGACACCGGAAGGAUUGACAGAUUGAGAGCUCUUUCUUGAUUCGGUGGGUGGUGGUGCAUGGCCGUU
rnacentral:rRNA from 1 species